CUCUGUGACUCCUACGGGAGGCAGCAGUGGGGAAUAUUGCACAAUGGGCGCAAGCCUGAUGCAGCCAUGCCGCGUGUAUGAAGAAGGCCUUCGGGUUGUAAAGUACUUUCAGCAGUGAGGAAGGCAGGUACGUUAAUAGCGUGCUUGUUUGACGUUAGCUGCAGAAGAAGCACCGGCUAACUCCGUGCCAGCAGCCGCGGUAAUACGGAGGGUGCGAGCGUUAAUCGGAAUUACUGGGCGUAAAGCGCAUGCAGGUGGUUUGUUAAGUCAGAUGUGAAAGCCCGGGGCUCAACCUCGGAAUUGCAUUUGAAACUGGCAGGCUAGAGUCUUGUAGAGGGGGUAGAAUUUCAGGUGUAGCGGUGAAAUGCGUAGAGAUCUGAAGGAAUACCAGUGGCGAAGGCGGCCCCCUGGACAAAGACUGACGCUCAGAUGCGAAAGCGUGGGGAGCAAACAGGAUUAGAUACCCUGGUAG
rnacentral:rRNA from 1 species